GUCGAGAAUUUUUCACAAUGGGCGAAAGCCUGAUGGAGCGACGCCGCGUGGGGGAUGAAGGGCUUCGGCUCGUAAACCCCUGUCAUUCGAGAACAAACCCUGCGAUUGAAUAGAUCGCGGGCUGAUAGUAUCGGAAGAGGAAGGGACGGCUAACUCUGUGCCAGCAGCCGCGGUAAUACAGAGGUCCCAAGCGUUGUUCGGAUUUACUGGGCGUAAAGGGUGCGUAGGCGGCGAGGGAAGUUCGGGGUGAAAUCUCCAGGCUCAACUUGGAAAAUGCCUUGAAGACUCCCUUGCUAGAGGAUCGCAGAGGAGACUGGAAUUCUCGGUGUAGCAGUGAAAUGCGUAGAUAUCGAGAGGAACACCAGUGGCGAAAGCGGGUCUCUAGGCGAUACCUGACGCUGAGGCACGAAAGCCAGGGGAGCAAACGGGAUUAGAAACCCGGGUAGUCC
rnacentral:rRNA from 1 species